UACGAAGGGGGCUAACGUUGCUCGGAAUCACUGGGCGUAAAGCGCACGUAGGCGGAUUUUUAAGUCAGGGGUGAAAUCCUGGAGCUCAACUCCAGAACUGCCUUUGAUACUGGGAAUCUCGAGUCCGGGAGAGGUGAGUGGAACUGCGAGUGUAGAGGUGAAAUUCGUAGAUAUUCGCAAGAACACCAGUGGCGAAGGCGGCUCACUGGCCCGGUACUGACGCUGAGGCACGAAAGCGUGGGGAGCAAACAGG
rnacentral:rRNA from 1 species